rnacentral:rRNA from 1 species
UACGGAGGUGGCAAGCGUUGCUCGGAAUCACUGGGCGUAAAGGGCGCGUAGGCGGGGAGGUAAGUCGGGUGUGAAAUCCCUCGGCCCAACCGAGGAACGGCGCCCGAGACUGCUUCUCUUGAGUCCCGGAGAGGAAGGUGGAAUUCCCGGUGUAGCGGUGAAAUGUGUAGAGAUCGGGAGGAACACCGGUGGCGAAGGCGGCCUUCUGGACGGUGACUGACGCUGAGGCGCGAAAGCGUGGGGAGCAAAC